rnacentral:rRNA from 1 species
UACGGAGGGAGCUAGCGUUGUUCGGAAUUACUGGGCGUAAAGCGUGCGCAGGCGGUUUUGUAAGUCAGAUGUGAAAUCCCCGGGCUUAACCUGGGAACUGCGUUUGAAACUACAAGGCUAGAGUGUGACAGAGGGGGGUGGAAUUCCACGUGUAGCAGUGAAAUGCGUAGAGAUGUGGAGGAACACCGAUGGCGAAGGCAGCCCCCUGGGUUAACACUGACGCUCAGGCACGAAAGCGUGGGGAGCAAACAGG